UACAUUGGCAAGGUCGAAGCGGGCAGCGCGUAAAGCAGAUGGCGACUUUUGCCGGACAGGGGAGGAAGGGUCGUAACGUGUGGGGACUGCGCAAUCAAGGGGGAAAGAGGUGGAAACGACUGCGAUACCGCAUACUGCCUACGGGGGACUGAGGGGACUUUGCGGCCUUUCGCGAUUGGAUGAAAUCAGGUGGGAUUAGGUGGAUGGGGGGGUAAUGGCUGACCUCGGCGACUAUCCCUAGAUGGUCUGAGAGGAUGAUGGGACUGACUGGAACUGAAAACCCCUCCAGACUGCUACAGGAGGCAAUUUUGGAGAAUGUUGCAAAACGUGGGAAACCCUGAUGCAGCCAUGCAUCGUGGGCCUCGAAUUGCUAACUGCUGUAGAGCAGUUCCAACAACCUGGAAAGAACGGCGCCGGGUACCGACGAACUGGGACGAUACACCCACAGUAAGCUACGGGUAAGUCCCUGCCGUCAUACGCAGGGAGAAGGAGGGUGUCAGAAUUAAUGGGAAUUACGCGGGGUCAGGCAGAUUCAUGAGACUGGAGUGAAUUCAUGGGAAAGCCCCGGGCUACAGCCGGUAAUUCCGUUUAACACUGUCCCGCUAGAGUCUUGUAGAAUUCGGUAGAAUUCCAGGAGUAGCGUAGAUAUGCGCAGAGAUCCCGAUGACUACCGCUGGCCACUGCGGGCCCCCUGGACACUCACUGACGAUUACGUGCGGAGCCAUGAGGAUCAAACACGCUGAGAGCCCCUGGUAGUCCCGAUCGCAAAUGAUGGUUGGUUGGAUACUGUCUCCUUACAACGGUUUUCUCGACCGUAGCCCCCCAGUCGAACUCCUGCGGAAUGCCUGACACCAUGAAGCAAUUUCAAGGUGACUUGCCCGGGGGCGCCGCAUAACGGGGGGUAGAAUUGUAGGUCUAAAUUCGAAUGAACCCUCACAAACAUUCUUAACCUGGCCUCGGAACUAUGCCCUGAGGAUGCCUGUGAGAGAUUCGG
rnacentral:rRNA from 1 species